GCUCUGACUCGCAGGCGGGGGCACUGCGACAGAACAGCGUGGCUUGCCCCACGCACAGCAAGUUUAAAAUCGCCUCCCUCCCAGGCUUUUAAGUUGGCUGAAGUCAGCCGGACUGACUGCAAAAAUAUCAACACUCCCAGAGCUUAGGAGCUCCUGAAGCGUCAAUUCCGGUUCCACCCACCUACAAAUUCACAUCCGGUGGAGAGGCGGGCGCCGCUUCACCCUGGCAACAGGCCGACUUCCGCGGUGAUUGGUUAAGAGAUGCCACCACUCAAGUCGGAAGGGCCAACCUUGGGACAGACAUGCAUCCUGGGGACAAGUGGGUGUUUGGGAAGCAAACACGCCCUCUCUGGCAUCCGCGUCCUCUCGCCCUCGCGUUGACCUCCCCGCCUCCGUGGCUAGCGCGCAGGCGCGGUACAUAUUUUUUUUUCUUUUUUUUCCUCCUCUGAAACUGUUUACCUGAAUCGAGCAAUGUUUAUAAAUCAGCUCGGUCACCAACCAGCGUCUAGCAGUAAAGUUGGUAAAAUUCCUGCCACUGAACGGAUGGAGAACUACAAGAUUAGCAACUUGAGGCCAGAGAAGAUAAGUGAUCCUCUCACCCAGGGACUGGAACCCAUGUCAUCCUGAAUCCAAGGGUUGUCUUCUCGGUGCUCCACAGAGCACAGUUACGCUAGUCUAGAGUAUCCAGUGGCCCAAAAGAGAGAGUAAAGUGUCAGAAUCUUCACAACAGUCUACAGGAAGACGACACAACCUGGUCCCUGCUCCUUUCUGAUUUUACCUCCUCCCACUCUUCCCCUCUCUCACUCCACUCUACACAUAGAAGGUUCCUGGCUGUGCCUCUAACCUGCAGACCCAUUCCUGCCUAGGGGUCUUUGCAAAGGCUGUUUACUCUAGCUGGAAAGCUCUCUCUCUAUAUCCAUGUGACUCACUCCUUCUCUUCCUUCAGGUCUCAACUCCCAAUGUCACCUCAGCAAAACCUUCCCCAACCACACUAUUAAAACUGCAUCACACCCUGUUAUACACUCUCUAUCCCCCAUCCCUGAUUUAUUUUUCUCCUUGCCACAUAACAUACUGCAUUGUGGAUAAGAAUCCACCUGUCAAUCCAGGGGCCAGAGGUUCAAUCCCUGGUCAAGGAAGAUUCCACAUGCUGUGAAGCAACUCAGCCCAUGCACCACAACUGCUGAGGCUGUGUGCUGCAACUAUGGAAGCCCACACACCCUAGAGCCCACACGCCGCAACUACUGAGCCCAUAUGCUGCAACUACUGAAGCCCACGUGCCUAGAAGACUGUGCUCCACAACAAGAGAAGCCACCACAAUGAGAAGCCCAAACACCACAACGAAGAGUAGUCUCCUGCUCACUGCAACUAGAGAAAGCUGGUGUGCAGCAAUGAAGACACAGUGCAGCCAAAAAUAAAUAAAUAAAUAAA